rnacentral:rRNA from 1 species
AUUGAACGCUGGUGGCAGGCCUAACACAUGCAAGUCGAGCGGAUGACGGGAGCUUGCUCCUUGAUUCAGCGGCGGACGGGUGAGUAAUACCUAGGAAUCUGCCUGAUAGUGGGGGACAACGUUUCGAAAGGAACGCUAAUACCGCAUACGUCCUACGGGAGAAAGCAGGGGACCUUCGGGCCUUGCGCUAUCAGAUGAGCCUAGGUCGGAUUAGCUAGUUGGUGAGGUAAUGGCUCACCAAGGCGACGAUCCGUAACUGGUCUGAGAGGAUGAUCAGUCACACUGGAACUGAGACACGGUCCAGACUCCUACGGGAGGCAGCAGUGGGGAAUAUUGGACAAUGGGCGAAAGCCUGAUCCAGCCAUGCCGCGUGUGUGAAGAAGGUCUUCGGAUUGUAAAGCACUUUAAGUUGGGAGGAAGGGCAGUAAGCUAAUACCUUGCUGUUUUGACGUUACCGACAGAAUAAGCACCGGCUAACUCUGUGCCAGCCGCCGCUGUAACAC